UGCAGUUAGUAGGUUGUCCCUCAGGAUUCUGCAUGUCUGGAUUUGCAAUCAUGGAAACUGCCAAAGGUCUAGGGACCUGUGUGGCAGAACCCGGCCUCUACCACUAUUGCCCAAGGAUUCUGACCCCAAAGGCCUUGCAGUAGAUGCCCUACAAUUUGGGGACACCUGGGCAAUCCCAGAGGACUCAGCCUGCCGCCCAGAAGGAAACUGUGCCAUUUGGAACUCCGGAAAGGAUUCAGAGGAGCAGAAAUCUGCAUGCCCAGCUGAGGACACACCCACACAGAGCUGACUCCUGGACACAAAGCCAGAGCCAGACACUCACCUUCACCUACACUGUCAACUCAGCCACCCAGACAGCUCUCCAUGGGGUCUUCAGGUUAUGUGGUGGUUCUGCAGGACAUUGUCUUGGUGUGGGGUCAAACACACUGAAGCAUCCCGUGUGAAGUGGCAAACGUGGUAAAGAAAUGAUGGCUGGGGAAUCUGAGUGUGGAGACAGCACGUAUUUGUGCUGCUAUAACAAGCUGACUGCACUUUGAAAUCACCGCAGAGGAAAUGACUCUUCCAAACAUCCAUGUUAGCAUGACGACACGGAAGCAGAGAGGACAUCAGACUUUGGGAUGGAGGCCAAGCCCUCCCAGAUCCAGGUCACCCAACAUGGAGAGGACACAUGUUAGCAAGAGACUUGUGGGAGGAUUACAUCAUGGGCCCCUGUAUCUCAGGUGCAGUAGAGGCAGUGGAUUUGGAAUUCCAGUUUUCCACAACGUUCCACCACAAGCUGGUUAGAACUGUGCAAAAGCAGGAAGGGAAGCCCCAGUAAAAUGUACUGGGGAUGCCAGAAGGG